rnacentral:lncRNA from 1 species
UUAGAUUGAUUAUGAUAAAAUAUUUUGUAUAUCUCUGUUACAUAUGACUAAACAAGAGAAAAAUUAUUUAUGGCAAACGUUUAUUCAGACUUUUUUUCAAUCAACGACAGUAGAACCCUGACAAAUUUAGAUGUAAACAGAUUUCAGAAAAGUCUUUGUCCUACCAGUUAGUUUAUGUAUAGGACACAAAUAUGCAUCAAAAUUUAUCAAGUUAAAUUGAUGGACAUUUUUUCGAAAGAAAUGAGUUAGACAACUGAUAGGAUGGAGACCCAUCCACUUAUAUGCGCUUUAAUUCUAAAAAAUUUGAUUGAAGAAAAAUGAAAAUCUUUUUUGUUGUUGCCUUGGUGAUGAUAUCAACUUAGUUGCGUGCUGAUCAGUUGCUGGAUGAAUUAAAGCUCUCAUAGUUCCCUAAAUCAGUAAUGUAUCAUCAGUUGCAUCUAAUGCUAAAAUUGAUGCACAUAAAGCUGUGAAAAUAAAAGCUUUAACUUCAGGACCAUCAAGAGAAGAGUUUAAACAUUAACUGAAGAGAUAUUUUUUGCUUUUUGGGGAUCGAAAUGGCGGACGAAUAGCUCGAGAGGAACGUUCUUUGUAUAAAAAGUUAUUUGCAUAAAUAACAAUUUGAACUUUUAA